rnacentral:rRNA from 1 species
CCUACGGGAGGCAGCAGUGGGGGAUAUUGCACAAUGGGGGAAACCCUGAUGCAGCGACGCCGCGUGGGCGAAGAAGUAUUUCGGUAUGUAAAGCCCUAUCAGCAGGGAAGAAGAAAUGACGGUACCUGAGUAAGAAGCACCGGCUAAAUACGUGCCAGCAGCCGCGGUAAUACGUAUGGUGCAAGCGUUAUCCGUAUUUACUGGGUGUAAAGGGAGCGUAGACGGCAAGGCAAGUCUGGAGUGAAAGCCCGUGGCCCAACCACGGGACUGCUUUGGAAACUGUGUUGCUGGAGUGCAGGAGGGGUAAGCGGAAUUCCUAGUGUAGCGGUGAAAUGCGUAGAUAUUAGGAGGAACACCGGUGGCGAAGGCGGCUUACUGGACUGUAACUGACGUUGAGGCUCGAAGGCGUGGGGAGCAAACAGGAUUAGAUACCCUGGUAGUC